rnacentral:rRNA from 1 species
UAAGGGCGCACGGUGGAUGCCUUGGCACUAGAAGCCGAUGAAGGACGUUACUAACGACGAUAUGCUUUGGGGAGCUGUAAGUAAGCUUUGAUCCAGAGAUUUCCGAAUGGGGAAACCCAGCAUGAGUUAUGUCAUGUUAUCGAUAUGUGAAUACAUAGCAUAUCAGAAGGCACACCCGGAGAACUGAAACAUCUUAGUACCCGGAGGAAGAGAAAGAAAAUUCGAUUCCCUUAGUAGCGGCGAGCGAAACGGGAAGAGCCCAAACCAACAAGCUUGCUUGUUGGGGUUGUAGGACACUCUAUACGGAGUUACAAAGGACGACAUUAGACGAAUCAUCUGGAAAGAUGAAUCAAAGAAGGUAAUAAUCCUGUAGUCGAAAAUGUUGUCUCUCUUGAGUGGAUCCUGAGUACGACGGAGCACGUGAAAUUCCGUCGGAAUCUGGGAGGACCAUCUCCUAAGGCUAAAUACUCUCUAGUGACCGAUAGUGAACCAGUACCGUGAGGGAAAGGUGAAAAGCACCCCGGAAGGGGAGUGAAAUAGAACCUGAAACCGUGUGCUUACAAGUAGUCAGAGCCCGUUAAUGGGUGAUGGCGUGCCUUUUGUAGAAUGAACCGGCGAGUUACGAUUUGAUGCAAGGUUAAGCAGUAAAUGUGGAGCCGUAGCGAAAGCGAGUCUGAAUAGGGCGUUUAGUAUUUGGUCGUAGACCCGAAACCAGGUGAUCUACCCUUGGUCAGGUUGAAGUUCAGGUAACACUGAAUGGAGGACCGAACCGACUUACGUUGAAAAGUGAGCGGAUGAACUGAGGGUAGCGGAGAAAUUCCAAUCGAACCUGGAGAUAGCUGGUUCUCUCCGAAAUAGCUUUAGGGCUAGCCUCAAGUGAUGAUUAUUGGAGGUAGAGCACUGUUUGGACGAGGGGCCCCUCUCGGGUUACCGAAUUCAGACAAACUCCGAAUGCCAAUUAAUUUAACUUGGGAGUCAGAACAUGGGUGAUAAGGUCCGUGUUCGAAAGGGAAACAGCCCAGACCACCAGCUAAGGUCCCAAAAUAUAUGUUAAGUGGAAAAGGAUGUGGCGUUGCCCAGACAACUAGGAUGUUGGCUUAGAAGCAGCCAUCAUUUAAAGAGUGCGUAAUAGCUCACUAGUCGAGUGACACUGCGCCGAAAAUGUACCGGGGCUAAACAUAUUACCGAAGCUGUGGAUUGUCCUUUGGACAAUGGUAGGAGAGCGUUCUAAGGGCGUUGAAGCAUGAUCGUAAGGACAUGUGGAGCGCUUAGAAGUGAGAAUGCCGGUGUGAGUAGCGAAAGACGGGUGAGAAUCCCGUCCACCGAUUGACUAAGGUUUCCAGAGGAAGGCUCGUCCGCUCUGGGUUAGUCGGGUCCUAAGCUGAGGCCGACAGGCGUAGGCGAUGGAUAACAGGUUGAUAUUCCUGUACCACCUAUAAUCGUUUUAAUCGAUGGGGGGACGCAGUAGGAUAGGCGAAGCGUGCGAUUGGAUUGCACGUCUAAGCAGUAAGGCUGAGUAUUAGGCAAAUCCGGUACUCGUUAAGGCUGAGC